GUCCCCAUAGCUCAACGGAUAGAGUGUGGCCCUGCGGAGGCCAAGAUGGAGGUUCGAUUCCUCCUGGGGACACCG
rnacentral:tRNA from 5 species